AUUGAACGCUGGCGGCAGGCCUAACACAUGCAAGUCGAACGAGUGGCGGACGGGUGAGUAAUGUCUGGGACACUGCCUGAUGGAGGGGGAUAACUACUGGAAACGUUAGCUAAUACCGCAUACCAUCGGAUGUGCCCAGAUGGGCUUAGCUAGUAGGUGGGGUAAAGGCUCACAUGGACGACGAUCCCUAGCUGGUCUGAGAGGAUGACCAGCCAAACUGGAACGGAGACACGGUCCAGACGCCUACGGGAGGAAGCAGUGGGGAAUAUUGCACAAUGGGCGCAAGCAGGAUGCAGCCAUGCCGCGUGUAUGAAGAAGGCCUUCGGGUUGUAAAGUACGUUCAGCGGGGAGGCGUUACCCGCAGAAGAAGCACCGGCUAACUCCGUGCCAGCCGCCGCGGUAAUAC
rnacentral:rRNA from 1 species